GAUCCUGGCUCAGGAUGAACGCUGGCGGCGUGCCUAACACAUGCAAGUCGAACGGACUUACAUUGAAGCCUAGCGAUAUGUAAGUUAGUGGCGGACGGGUGAGUAACGCGUGGGUAACCUGCCUUGUACUGGGGGACAACAGUUGGAAACGACUGCUAAUACCGCAUAAGCGUACAGCUUCACAUGAAGCAGUGUGAAAAACUCCGGUGGUACAAGAUGGACCCGCGUCUGAUUAGCUGGUUGG
rnacentral:rRNA from 1 species